AUUACAGGACUCGCAAGACUCCCGUAAACCACUGUGAACUUACCUACAACCCGUUGCCUCGGCGGGUGCUCCGGGCGCGUCUUCGGGCGCUCCGGGGCGCUCCAGCCCGCCGGCGGCCCCUAAACUCUGUCUCUGUAACGUUGGCAUCUCCGAGCAGACUAUAAACGAGUCAAAACUUUCAACAACGGAUCUCUUGGUUCUGGCAUCGAUGAAGAACGCAGCGAAAUGCGAUAAGUAAUGUGAAUUGCAGAAUUCAGUGAAUCAUCGAAUCUUUGAACGCACAUUGCGCCCGCCAGCACUCUGGCGGGCAUGCCUGUCCGAGCGUCAUUUCAACCCUCAGGCCCCGCCUGGCGUUGGAGCCCUGCGCAGCGCAGGCUCCCAAAGACAGCGGCGGGCGCGCCCCGGAACCGAGCGCAGUAAUGCUUUCUCGUUCUGGUCCGGCGCGCGCUCCGGCCGUAAAACCCCCAACUUUCUAAGUGGUUGACCUCGGAUCAGGUAGGAAUACCCGCUGAACUUAAGCAUAUCAAUAAGCGGAGGAAAAGAAACCAACAGGGAUUGCCUCAGUAACGGCGAGUGAAGCGGCAACAGCUCAAAUUUGAAAUCUGGCCCCCCGGCCCGAGUUGUAAUUUGCAGAGGAUGCUUCUGGCGCGGUGCCUUCCAAGUCCCCUGGAACGGGGCGCCAUAGAGGGUGAGAGCCCCGUCUGGUUGGCCGCCAAGCCUGUGUGAGCUC
rnacentral:rRNA from 1 species